GUGGAUGUAGCUAUGGCGUGCGCUCAGCGACCCGCUCUACGUGAAAUCUCCUUUCUUCGAAAGGCGAAUUGUAGUCUAGAGACCCGUUCUCCGUGUCGCUGCUGGCCCAAGUCCCCUGGAAAGGGGCGUCCGAGAGGGUGAGAACCCCGUGGGGCCGGUGUGUGGACACCUCACGAGGCGGCGUCGUCGAGUCGGGUUGCUUGGGAAUGCAGCCCCAAGGAGGUGGUAAAUCCCAUCUAAGGCUAAAUACCGACGGGAGACCGAUAGCGAACAAGUACCGUGAGGGAAAGAUGAAAAGCACUUUGAAAAGAGAGUUAAAAAGUACUUGAAAUUGUUGAGAGGGAAGAGAUGGGCCGCCGCGUGUGCGGCCAGGCAUACGCCCGCCCUGGUGGCGUGCUGGAUGCACUGGUUGCUGGUCAGCAUGGGUUGGUGUCGGCGGGACAAUCCCGGACGUUUGUUGUUCCGGUUCUGCCGCCGCUCCGACCGAGGCUUGCAGGGCGCUAGCAAUAGUCCCCCCGGGGAACUGCGCCCUCGAGAUGCUGGCGGAAGGCGUCUCAUCUGCCCGUCUUGAAACACGGACCAAGGAGUCUAACGUGUAUGCGAGCUGGUGGGUGGCAAACCCACGAAGCGCAAGGAACCUGACUGGUGCGAUGGCUCGAGCCUGCAGCAUCGACCUCUCUUGAGCUUGUGCGAUGGAUGAGAGUACGAGUAUACACGCUGGGACCCGAAAGAUGGUGAACUAUGCCUGAGCAGGGCGAAGCCAGAGGAAACUCUGGUGGAGGCUCGUAGAUGUGCUGACGUGCAAAUCGCUUUUCGGACUUGGGUAUAGGGCGAAAAGACUAAUCGCACUUUCUAGUAAA
rnacentral:rRNA from 1 species